rnacentral:rRNA from 1 species
GAUGAACGCUGGCGGCGUGCCUAAUACAUGCAAGUCGAGCGAACGGACGAGAAGCUUGCUUUUCUGAUGUUAGCGGCGGACGGGUGAGUAACACGUGGAUAACCUACCUAUAAGACUGGGAUAACUUCGGGAAACCGGAGCUAAUACCGGAUAAUAUUUUGAACCGCAUGGUUCAAAAGUGAAAGACGGUCUUGCUGUCACUUAUAGAUGGAUCCGCGCUGCAUUAGCUAGUUGGUAAGGUAACGGCUUACCAAGGCAACGAUGCAUAGCCGACCUGAGAGGGUGAUGGCCCAACCGGGAAAGGGGACCGGGCCCGGCCUCCUCGGGGAGGCGGAGGGGGGAAUCCUUCCGAAAGGGGGGAAGCCCUGACGGAGCAGCGCCGGGGGAGUGAGAAGGGUUUUCGGAUCGAAAAACUUUGUUAUUGGGAAAAAACAUAUUGGAAAGUAACUGUCCACAUCUGGAGGGUACUUAAUAAGAAAGCCCCGGCUAACUACGUC